GAUGAACGCUGGCGGCGUGCCUAAUACAUGCAAGUCGAGCGAACAGACGAGGAGCUUGCUCCUCUGACGUUAGCGGCGGACGGGUGAGUAACACGUGGAUAACCUACCUAUAAGACUGGGAUAACUUCGGGAAACCGGAGCUAAUACCGGAUAAUAUAUUGAACCGCAUGGUUCAAUAGUGAAAGACGGUUUUGCUGUCACUUAUAGAUGGAUCCGCGCCGCAUUAGCUAGUUGGUAAGGUAACGGCUUACCAAGGCAACGAUGCGUAGCCGACCUGAGAGGGUGAUCGGCCACACUGGAACUGAGACACGGUCCAGACUCCUACGGGAGGCAGCAGUAGGGAAUCUUCCGCAAUGGGCGAAAGCCUGACGGAGCAACGCCGCGUGAGUGAUGAGGGUCUUCGGAUCGUAAAACUCUGUUAUUAGGGAAGAACAAAUGUGUAAGUAACUAUGCACGUCUUGACGGUACCUAAUCAGAAAGCCAUGGCUAACUACGUG
rnacentral:rRNA from 1 species